rnacentral:ncRNA from 1 species
CCUUGUGUCCCAAUAGUAAUUGAACUUAGUACGAGAGGAACUAUUGAUUCGCACAAUUGGUCAUUGCACUUGGUUGAAAAGCUAGUGGUGCAAAGCUACUGUGCAUGGGAUUAUAACUGAAUGACUCUAAGUCAAAAUCCAUACUAGAUAUGGUGCCAUCUACCUCCCAUGUUGUUACUUGAUCUUGGAUAGGGGUGGCAUGUGCACCCUGGGGGACUUGUGCAUUGAAAACAUGUACUUACAACUAAGUUUGCUAUUUGUGUUGAACCUAUAAACAUACACUGUGUAGCACAUGUGAUCAUGGGAUGAAAUUUGGAUAUACUGUCACCAUGGAUUCUUAGAACCUUGGGGGAUAAAUGGGGAUAAAAUAGCCAUUAAGGGCUCUCUCAUCAAGCAAUUACCCCUUUUUUAGUUGGCUUAAUGGGAGAGAGAUAAAGUGCACUAUAUGUGGUAUCGGAGCAAAUAGCACAAGUUCAAUUCCCAUUGAUUAAUGGCUACUUAAAAAUAUAAUAAACCCUUGAGCAAGGUAUAUUCCUACCCCUAAAUUUGAAAUUAUACAUAUUAGGCAUACGUUUUUCCUCUUGUAUGGAGUAUCCAUAGAUGAAAGUAUUCACCGUGGGACUACGGUAUGGGUGGAUGAUUAGUUGCUUCACAUGGAAUAGCUAGAAUACAUAGUGGAAGGAUUAGUAGAUUCGGUGCGGAAAUGCAAGUGCUAAAUCCCCUUGGCUCAAAAGGGGUUGUUUGUCAAUAAUCAAUGAGGACAUUGAUUUCUUUGAAGGGGGGGGGGGGGGGGGUGAGUGUAGCGCAUGUGAUCAUGAGAUGAAAUUUGGAUAUAUUGUCACCAUAAAUUCUUGGAAUCUUGGGGGAUAAAUGGGGAUAAAAUAGCCACUAAAGGCUCUCUCAUCAAGCAAUUGCCCCUUUUCCAGUUGGCUUAAGGGGAAAGAAAUAAGGUGCGCUACACACUGAAUGACUUGGGAGAUAAAUCCUUUGCAGACGACUUAAAAUAAAGGAUGGGGUUUUAUAAGUGGCAGAGUAGCCUUGUUGCUACGAUCUGCUAAAGUUCAUCCUUUUGUCUCCAAGAUUU